rnacentral:rRNA from 1 species
AGCAGCCGCGGUAAUUCCAGCUCCAAUAGCGUAUAUUAAAGUUGUUGCAGUUAAAAAGCUCGUAGUUGAAUUUCGGGGUUAGUAGGUUGGUCAUGCCUCUGGUAUGUACUGGUCUCACUGAUUCCUCCUUCCUGAUGAGCCGUAAUGCCAUUAAUUUGGUGUUGCGGGGAAUUUGGACUGUUACUUUGAAAAAAUUUAGAGUGUUUAAAGCAAGCUAACGCUUGAAUACAUUAGCAUGGAAUAAUGAAAUAGGACGUUCGAUCCUAUUUUGUUGGUUUCUAGGAUCGACGUAAUGAUUAAUAGGGAUAGUUGGGGGCAUUAGUAUUCAAUUGUCAGAGGUGAAAUUCUUGGAUUUAUUGAAGACUAACUACUGCGAAAGCAUUUGCCAAGGAUGUUUUCAUUAAUCAAGAACGAAAGUUAGGGGAUCGAAGACGAUCAGAUACCGUCGUAGUCUUAACCAUAAACUAUGCCGACUAGGGAUCGGAUGAUGUUAAUUUUUUAAUGACUCAUUCGGCGCCUU